rnacentral:ncRNA from 1 species
ACUAAGUUUGGCUCUGGCUCCAAAAUUUACUACUUCGCCUUCUCCUGCAUGCAAGCCUUUUCCCGCCCGCACAUUAGCAAUAAGGACAACUUUCGCUCAACGCCCAAAACUUUCCUUACCUCUUUCUUAUCAACCCGAAGUAACGACACCACAAACAAUGCGCCUGCAGCAAACAAUAUUGCCUAUUCAGAUACGACAGUAUGCCCCAGAGAACGAAGAAAAUAUUGGAGAAGUCUGUGCCAGCAGCCGCGGUUACACAGACCAAUAUAAGUAAAUACCUCUCUCCAUGGUAAUAGGGGAAAAAAAUCUCUAAAGAUGUCCAACUCGCACCAAUUUGCCUACCUCUAUACCCCCAUCUUUAUUUCCAUGAAAACUAGGACAAAAACAAGGAUUAGAUACCCUUCUAUUCCUAGCCGUUAAUCGCCGGGCAGUACGAACGUAAGUUUAAAACCCAAAGAGCUUGGCGGUGCUUCAUCAUCCUAGGGGAGCCUGUUCCUUAAUUCGAUAAUCCGCGUUAAACCCAACCUAAUCUAGACCCCCUUCAGCCUGUGUAUUGCCGUCGGAAGCUUACCUCACGAGAGCACGUAAGCCCACAAACCCUCGCCGUUUCCACGUCAGGUAAAAUGCAGCCUAUGAUUAGGGGCCAAUAGGCUACAAUUUCGAAAGCCACUAGACUGGAAAUGAAACCUUCCAUGAAACUGGACUUAGUAGUAACCUUCACUCACCACGCGAAAGCGAAAAUCGCCAUCUGAAGCGUGCACACAUCGCCCGUCACUCUCGCUGAGAAGUGAGAUAAGUCGUAACAUAGUAGGCGCACCGGAAGGUGCGCCU